CAGCCGCCGCGGUAAAACGGAGGGUGCGAGCGUUAAUCGGAAUUACUGGGCGUAAAGCGUACGCAGGCGGUUUGUUAAGUCAGAUGUGAAAUCCCCGAGCUUAACUUGGGAACUGCAUUUGAAACUGGCAAGCUAGAGUCUUGUAGAGGGGGGUAGAAUUCCAGGUGUAGCGGUGAAAUGCGUAGAGAUCUGGAGGAAUACCGGUGGCGAAGGCGGCCCCCUGGACAAAGACUGACGCUCGGGUGCGAAAGCGUGGGGAGCAAACAGGAUUAGAUACCCCGGUAGUCCCUGUCUCUUAUAC
rnacentral:rRNA from 1 species